ACAGGAGGGCGGUGCUGAAGCCAUGCAGGUGGUAUAUCCCCGCUCUGCACUUUCACGUGGCUGUGGCAUCCAUCAGGACAACUUGCAUUUGGUGCUCCUGCCGGCGCUGUUAGCAGUAACUCCCAGUGAACUUCAGCAUACCCCACACAACGGUGCAUGUGGGAAGACCUUUAAACUAGCAUCUACUCUAUAAACAUGCUGACGUGUUACCUACAUCCAUCUAACAAUUCAUCUGGAGCAACACCCGUGCUACAUCAGCGUCGCUGUGCCUGCCCUGAGGAGCAGGCGGAGCGGUGCCUUCCCUGCUUGCCCCAACACGCCCCGCGGCUCACCAAUAUCCCCAUCGUUACUUGGCUGUUGAGCCAGCAUCUUUGCCGAGGUGCCGCAGCCGAGCGUCCCACCCGGCCCCUCCCCGCAGCUGGGCAGGAGGUGCCGCUUCCCUCCCCGUUACCGCAAGCGGCUGCCCGGUUUCUUCCAUUAACACCAGCAGCGAGGAUCAGCCCUUGGCAUCAGUCGUGACGGGGAGAUGGUUUGGAAUUGGAAUUGAGACAAACACAAGCCAGGAGCACCGGCUACAGAAGGGGAGAGUUUAAGAAAGGCCUUUUGUUUCUAAUCUUGGCAUGCACAUGGCUCCGUUCUGCACAGUCAGAGGCCAAAGGCUUUGCUGUUAUAAUCGUAUGCCUCCAGGAACUGGGGCUUGAAAGCAUAUGAAAAUAACACAAGCCUACCCAUGGUAUUGUGAGAGUCAGCAACCAUAGAGGAAAGCAGCAGACCCGCCAGCUGAAGUCCUCUCUCCCCACCCAGUGCACAUGCAUUUGGAAAAGAACGGGACGUGGGGACGGUCCUGGUGCCCUCAUGGGAAAGGCUGGUACAAACAAACAGAAAUUAGCUGGAGCUAAUAAAACAGGGGCUGCCACUAGCCCAGGCAGCGCUGCGUGUAUUUAAUCCCAGUCUCCUGAGCACAGCAGCUCUGAUAUUGCCGGAGGGAAUGGCUUUGUGGGCUAAGCAGGUGGUUUGAAACGCUUAGACUUCAGGAAAAGACAGAGUCCCUGCAGA